CCUUUCUUUUCUUGGUGGGGACCAGGCAGUUGGUCCUUUUCCCGAUUAGGUACAGAGGCAGAAGGAGGGACUCUAGCCCUCCAGGUAUGGCUUCCCAUCCACUGAUUCUUUCCUCAAGAAUGAGG
rfam:Dipodomys ordii contig_6287, whole genome shotgun sequence.